UGUCCAGUUUUUGCUUUCUUAUGUUUGC
rnacentral:piRNA from 1 species